rnacentral:tRNA from 1 species
GCCUGGGUGGCUCAGUCGGUUGAGCGUCCGACUUCGGCUCAGGUCAUGAUCUCGAGGUCCGUGAGUUCGAGCCCCACAUCAGGCU